GUGUUUGCUUUGGCAGCACAUAUACUAAAAUUGGGACAAUACAGAAGUUAGCAUGACCCAUGCAGAAAGAUGAUCUGCAAAUCCAUGUAGCUUUCCAUAUUAUU
ensembl:snRNA U6 U6 spliceosomal RNA